rnacentral:rRNA from 1 species
UACGUAGGGUGCGAGCGUUAAUCGGAAUUACUGGGCGUAAAGCGCGCGUAGGUGGCAAGUUAAGUCGGAUGUGAAAGCCCUGGGCUCAACCUAGGAAUUGCAUUCGAUACUGGCUAGCUCGAGUUUGGUAGAGGAGAGUGGAAUUCCCGGUGUAGGGCUGAAAUGCGUAGAUAUCGGGAGGAACAUCAGUGGCGAAGGCGGCUCUCUGGACCAUCACUGACACGGAGGCACGAAAGCGUGGGGAGCAAACAGG